UUAAAAAAGAAUAUAGCCUCGUGGUGUACCGCGGGUUAAAAUCUCGUUGUAAUGAAAUUCAAUAUACUCAGGGGAUGAUUGAAGUGAGAGAAGGAUUCUUGGG
rnacentral:sRNA from 1 species